rnacentral:rRNA from 1 species
AGCGAACGCUGGCGGAAUGCUUUACACAUGCAAGUCGAGCGGCAGCGCGGUCUUCGGACUGGCGGCGAGCGGCGAACGGGUGAGUAAUACAUCGGAACAUGCCCAGUCGUGGGGGGAUAACACUUCGAAAGAAGUGCUAAUACCGCAUACGUCCUGAGGGAGAAAGCGGGGGAUCGCAAGACCUCGCGCGAUUGGAGUGGCCGAUGUCAGAUUAGCUAGUUGGUGGGGUAAAGGCCUACCAAGGCAACGAUCUGUAGCUGGUCUGAGAGGAUGAGCAGCCACACUGGGACUGAGACACGGCCCAGACUCCUACGGGAGGCAGCAGUGGGGAAUUUUGGACAAUGGGGGCAACCCUGAUCCAGCCAUUCCGCGUGAGUGAAGAAGGCCUUCGGGUUGUAAACUGCUUUUGUACGGAACGAAAAGCCCCGGGUUAAUACCCUGGGGUCAUGACGGUACCGUAAGAAUAAGCACCGGCUAACUACGUGCCAGCCGCCGCGGUAACAC